CAAUUAGGUGAUGGUGGAUAACAAAAAAUAUUUUUAUAACUAUAUUAAUGGCAAGAGGAGGGCCAAAGAGAGUUUCAAUUCUUUGCUGAACACAGGGGGGAACAUGACUACU